UCUCUUUUUGCACAGUUUUGGACAGAUCCCUGCACAGAGCAGCACAGCUUUCCCCCAGUACUGCUCACCCGGAGCUCAGUGUGCAGCACCAGAAAGCAAAGUGAGAAGCACACGGAAUCAGAGGAGCCCUAAGGAUGCUGCCAUCCCAUUCCACCCAACGUGCACAAAGACACACGAGGGCAGCAAGGAAAGCUGGAAAACAACACCACACAGAAGGAAACACGAGCUCUGCAUUUGUCCCCCUGGUUUCCAAAGGCUGCCGAGCUUUCCCGGCUGAGCUUUCAUUUCUGCCCUUGGAGGACACUUUGGGGUUGUGCUCCAGGUGAGCUGAGCGUGGUCCUUUCUCCACUCAUGUUUGCAGGCUCCCAAAUCUCACUGCCAAGGUGUGAACUCCUUUGAGAGGGAGAAGGGGAUCUGGGGAGUGCUUAUUGCCUACGGGUGGGUGUUUGGGUGCGGGGAUGGGCUGUAGGAUGGGGCGUGGAUGGGGGUGCAGGAUGGGAUCCCUGUGCGGUGCAGAGCCGUGGGGUGGUGGGGCUGGAACCAUCUGGAAGGGCUUUGGAGGGAAGGGUGAGGGCCGAGGGGGGGGGGAUGGGAGAAGGGAUGCCAUGACAACCUUUUGGGGUUUCCCAGGAAACCAGGGUCGCCAUAGCAACUGCAUCACUCCGGUCCGAAUUAGUGACUUCCGCUGGAAGGCGUGCUCACCACUUCAAUCUCCUUGCCAUGAGCAGCUGCAUCUCUCCCAGCCGCGGUGCAAAAGGUGGAAACAUCCCUUUGUCUGCAGCUCGGCAGCUCAGAGCCACAGCCCUUGUGCACCCACCCCAUCCCGCUCCGCCCUCCGCAGCACACGGACCCCCAGAUCCUGCGCUGGGUGAAAUCACGCCCGGGGCUGCAGGGGAAGGGAAUUAAGGAUAGAAAGGAAGGGGGUCGGGUUUUAGUCUGAACUGAUUGCGCUCGGCUUCCGAUCAGACAAGAAGGUCGUGAGUGAUCUAUCGGGGGAGAAAAGGGGAUCUGCAGUGCGUCCCCAAGGGCACACCACCUCCCAGCACUAAAACGUGGUAGCAGAGACUGAGAAAUUACAGGCUUGUUUCCUCCCAGCCCCCUUCCAGCGCUCGGCAACAUGUUUUCCUCGUCUCCCCACCCAAUCCGGGGCUGCUAAUCCAACAAGUGAGCUUAUGUGAUGGAAGGGAAAUGGGCUCCGCACCGCCUGCAGGGAAGGGGGAGCAAACCAGGAGCAAAGCGAGACGUCCCCAAAAGCCAGGAAACAAAGGCAGCCCUGCAACACGUUGCAGAACAGACACCUGCUCCAGCGGUGCCAUUUGUCUUCAUUCUCCUUCUCCGUACCCAUCGGCCGUCCUCUUUUCUUUGGAGAAUUUUAAAUCCCUUUCGGAUCUUUAGAAAGGAAAAAAAAAGAAAAAAGAAAAAAGAUCUACAAAAAUAAAAGUAUAAAACCAAGGGCGCACACAGACGGACGAUGGUGCAUGUUCCACACAACACCAAGUACACACGGUCACUUUUGCAUCAUUGUUAUUAUUUUUCUUUUACCACAUCCUCAGGCUUCGCUGCCUCUCUGUGUUUAUUAAACGUCCGUAAAGAUCUUUUUGAUGUUCACACAGUUGGGAUUGUUUGUGGUUGUGCAGUUGCCUGUCUUAAAGGCAGCCUGUUUGAAUGCACUGUGGUUGAUUCCCCCCUCCUCUAUCACCAUGUACUCGGAUUUGCUGAGGGUGGAAUUGCUGCGUGCCUUCCUCAUCUCUUCGGUAGAUGAGAGGUGCUGGCAGCUCCCAACAUGCAUGUACUGGGCUUGCUCCUCACCUUCUGUCUCCCGGUGGUAGAAAUAGUUGAAAUUGGAGACUAUGACGGGCACGGGCAGAGCGAUGGUCAGCACCCCCGCGAUGGCACACAGAGACCCCACGAUCUUGCCCCCGAUGGUGAUGGGGUGCAUGUCCCCAUAGCCCACUGUGGUCAUGGUCACCACCGCCCACCAGAAGGCGUCAGGGAUGCUGCUGAAACCUGAACUGGGGUCAUCGGCCUCGGCGAAGUAGACGGCGCUGGAGAAGAGGAUGACGCCGAUGAAGAGGAAGAAGAUGAGCAAGCCCAGCUCCCGCAUGCUGGCUUUGAGGGUCUGCCCCAGGAUCUGCAGCCCCUUGGAGUGCCGGGACAGCUUGAAGAUCCGGAAGACCCGCACCAAGCGGAUGACUCGGAGGAUGGCCAAGGACAUGGCUUGCUGGCCGUUGCCUUGCCUCUCUGCCAGCUCGGUGCCCAGCGUGAUGAAGUAGGGAAUGAUGGCCACAAUGUCAAUGAUGUUCAUGAUGUUCUUGGAGAAGGUGGCCUUGCUGGGACAGGCAAAGAAGCGCACCAACAGCUCAAAGGAGAACCAGAUGAUGCACAAAGUCUCCACCACGAAGAAAGGGUCGGUGAAGGACGACACCAUGGAAACAGCAGAGGACGAGGAAUUGGUGAAGACGUCGGGUGGGAGAGGGCCACCACCCGUCCCAAAGGUCCCCCCAGUUCCCUCAUAGUCGUGGUCAUCCCUGAACUCAGGCAGGGUCUCCAGGCAGAAGAUGACAAUAGAGAUGAGGAUGACCAGGACGGAGACGAUGGCGAUGCCUCGGGCCGGCCCGGAGCUCUCGGGGUACUCAAAGAGCAGCCACACCUGGCGCUGGAACUCCUUCUCAGGGAGCGGCCGCUGCUCCUCCCGUAUGAAACCCUCAUCCUCCCGGAACUUCUCCAUGGCCUCCUCCCCCAGCUGGUAGAAGCGAAUCUCCUCGGAGAAGAUAUCAAUGGGGACAUUGACGGGUCGUCGGAUGCGCCCUCCGGACUGGUAGUAAUAGAGGAUGGCGUCGAAGCUGGGCCGGUUACGGUCGAAAAAAUACUCGUUGCGCAGGGGGUCGAAGUAACGCAUCCUUUUGCGGGGGUCCCCCAGCAGCGUCUCGGGGAACUGCGCCAACGUUUUGAGCUGAGUCUCGAAGCGCAGCCCCGAGAUGUUGAUCACCACCCGCUCGCAGCA
ensembl:lncRNA